GCCGGGCGUGGUGGCGCAAGCCUGUAGUCCCAGCUAUUCGGGAGGCUGAGACAGGAGGAUCGCUUGAGUCCAGGAGUUCUGGGCUGUAGUGCACUAUGCCGAUCGGGUGUCUGCACUAGUUCAGCAUCAAUAUGGUGACCUUCCGGGACCACCAGGUUGCCUAAGGAGGGGUGAACCGGCCCAGGUCGGAAACGGAGCAGGUCAAAACUUCCGUGCUGAUCAGAAACCAUGAAUCAAGAAAAAACCUAAAAGACUUGCCCACAGGCAAAUCUGGUGGGGGGAAUUUGCUCAAU
rfam:Mesocricetus auratus contig041887, whole genome shotgun sequence.